UAGGGAAUUGUUCGCAAUGGGCGCAAGCCUGACGACGCAACGCCGCGUGGAGGAUGAAGACCUUCGGGUCGUAAACUCCUUUCGACCGAGAUGAAUACCCACCGACCUAAUACGUUGGUGGGCUGACAGUAUCGAGGGAAGAAGCCCCGGCUAACUCCGUGCCAGCAGCCGCGGUAAUACGUAGGGUGCGAGCGUUAAUCGGAAUUACUGGGCGUAAAGUGUGCGCAGGCGGCGUCGCAAGUCGAGUGUGAAAGCCCCGGGCUUAACUUGGGAAUUGCGCUCGAAACUACGAUGCUGGAGUAUGGCAGAGGAAGGUGGAAUUCCACGUGUAGCGGUGAAAUGCGUAGAGAUGUGGAGGAACACCGAUGGCGAAGGCAGCCUUCUGGGCCAAUACUGACGCUCAUGCACGAAAGCGUGGGGAGCAAA
rnacentral:rRNA from 1 species